UGUAUUUCUUCUGAUUAUUAAGUCUUUCCACUUUUCUGUGGAAAGACUUAUUGUUUUUGUUCUGAUUAUUAUUAUUAUUAUUAUUAUUAUUUUUUUUUUUUCCGCCAACUUUUGUUCUUGCGAUAAAUGUUUGUUUCGCAAUAUGGCGCUUAGAUAUUUCUCAUAUUGUAUCGUAUAGUUUAUGCGCUUUUAAAUUUCACCCUGCUAAGACGAACAAUUUUCUCUGUAAGAGUUAUCUCCCUAUUCACUGUUUAUCAUGUGUGUGCAUCUCCUUCGUAACAAAAAAUGAUAGCGACAAAAUUCUUUUUACAAAUUGUUCGUUACAUCCUCAGAAAAUUUUGGCUAAUUUGGAUCGAAGCGAUUCGAUGAAAUUUUAUAGGAGUUAUCUAUCUUUACGGAAUAAAUUUGUCGGUAUGUUUUUUUAACUCAUAAACCGUUAACCGUAUAACCCUG
rnacentral:lncRNA from 1 species